rnacentral:rRNA from 1 species
UACGAAGGGUGCAAACGUUGCUCGGAAUUACUGGGCGUAAAGGGCUCGUAGGUGGCCAACUAAGUCGGACGUGAAAUCCCUCAGCUUAACUGGGGAACUGCGUCCGAUACUGGAUGGCUUGGAUUUGGGAGAGGGAUGCGGAAUUCCAGGUGUAGCGGUGAAAUGCGUAGAUAUCUGGAGGAACACCGGUGGCGAAGGCGGCAUCCUGGACCAAUAUUGACGCUGAGGAGCGAAAGCCAGGGGAGCAAACGGG